UACGAAGGGGGCUAGCGUUGUUCGGAUUCACUGGGCGUAAAGGGUGCGUAGGCGGGGUUUUAAGUCAGGGGUGAAAUGCCGAGGCUCAACUUCGGAACUGCCUUUGAUACUGGAACUCUUGAGUCUGGGAGAGGUGAGUGGAACUGCGAGUGUAGAGGUGAAAUUCGUAGAUAUUCGCAAGAACACCAGUGGCGAAGGCGGCUCACUGGCCCGGAACUGACGCUGAGGCACGAAAGCGUGGGGAGCAAACAGG
rnacentral:rRNA from 1 species